UACGGGGGGGGCAAGCGUUGUUCGGAAUUACUGGGCGUAAAGGGCUCGUAGGUGGCCAACUAAGUCAGACGUGAAAUCCCUCAGCUUAACUGGGGAACUGCGUCUGAUACUGGAUGGCUUGAGUUUGGGAGAGGGAUGCGGAAUUCCAGGUGUAGCGGUGGAAUGCGCAGAUAUCAGGAGGAACACCGGUGGCGAAGGCGGCUACCUGGACAGAAACUGACGCUGAGGCGCGAAAGCGUGGGGAGCGAACAGG
rnacentral:rRNA from 1 species